GACGAACGCUGGCGGCGUGCCUAACACAUGCAAGUCGAGCGGGGGGAGUUCUUCGGAACGAACCUAGCGGCGGACGGGUGAGUAACACGUGGGCAACCUGCCUUGAGGAGGGGGAUAACAGGAGGAAAGUCCUGCUAAUACCGCAUGACGCGGUGCUGUCGCAUGAUGGCAUCGGCAAAGGAGCAAUCCGCCUCAAGAUGGGCCCGCGGCGCAUUAGCUAGUUGGUGGGGUAACGGCCUACCAAGGCGACGAUGCGUAGCCGACCUGAGAGGGUGAGCGGCCACAUUGGAACUGAGACACGGUCCAGACUCCUACGGGAGGCAGAAGUGGGGAAUAUUGCACAAUGGGCGAAAGCCUGAUGCAGCAACGCCGCGUGAGCGAUGAAGGCCUUCGGGUUGUAAAGCUCUGUCUUCGCUGACGAAAUCUGACGGUAAGCGAGGAGAAAGCCACGGCUAACUACGUG
rnacentral:rRNA from 1 species